GCUAUCUGUCUCAUUUCAAUUCAGAGCUAUAGAGUAUCAUCUGUGGCGUGAAAAUAUAAAGGGAAAUGAGCUACUACCUGCUUGCUGCAGCUGUUGAGGCAGUCAGGGACAUCGGUCUUACUCAGGGACAAAUUAGGGCCAAGAGGCACAGUCAAGGUAUUGCCCAGUUUAAGGCACAGUGUUUCCCAAAAAGUUAAAAGCCUUUAAUUUAGCUUUUGAAUUAGGAAGAUUAAAUACCAACAUUUCAUUUUGUUUCGCUUGUCCUCCUGUACUCAAGGUGGUGGCUAAGAAAGGUGUAGAGCACAGGUAAGUCAGGCAAUAAGCAAAGCAAGCCCUCCAGCAGAAUAAGAACUGUCCUACUGCCUCCAUCAUGCAGAGCUGUGCCAGCAACAGGACCUUCCCCAGUCCCAGAGAGAAGCAGAGGACCAGCGACCCAUCUGGUGCUUCGAGGCCUGGUGCACGGCAGUGACUGCCACGGGUUGAAAGAGUCCAUGAGCCAGCCAGCAAAGAUACAACGCAGGAGACUGCAAGAUGAAGGCUGUUCUGUGGCUCACAUGGAUGUGGAAGAGUGAAGAUGAAAGACUACCCAAGCUCAUCUGUAUGAAAACUGUGAAACUGCUUGGAAAAUAUGGGGAAUAUAGAAGAUGAGCAUUUAUUAGGAAGCUUGCAGCUGAUGCUGAGUAGGAAUGAAGACUGAGAUUCCCUACAAAGUUAAGUGAAGAGUAAUAAUUCUGCAAUUUCAGAAGCUUAUAUGGCAAUAUGGAGAAGAACAGAAAGCAGACAAAUAAUUCAAAGAACAAUAGAACUGUGAAAAUUACUCCUUUUUUACCUUAAAAUGCAUUUUCUUCAGUCAUGUAUGCUCAUUGUUUUGUGUUCCGCUUAAGACAUUUGUGGAAGCAAGCUUCUUUCCAGCAGCCAUUAGUAUUUUGUGGGCAAACACAAAAAUCACUAGAUUUUCACGUCUCCAGGCACACAUAGUUUUGUUCAAUUUUUUCAAGCACUCACCCUCUCAGAAAGUAAGAGCAAUCCUGCCCAGCAAGCAAGAACCACCGACAGGUCCCAAGUGAUUACGGGAUGUCUUUGGAGAGUCUUUUUCUGAUGAAAACUUGUCAGCAGAAUCUGUGUUGGAUUCCUGACUGCAGCGUGUUUCUUUCUUGUGCCACAUGUACUAGGAUGAAGGGCAGAGAAGACAGUGAUUUGGGAUAAACCUUGAGCCCUGGGACUGAAAUUCCAGCCCAAAGCCAGCCCAAAAUACUUGAAGGAGAAGAUAUGGAAGUCUGCUAAGGAACAGGAGGGCAAAUCCUUCAUUCUGCUUAUGUAUGUCCAGAUCUGGAAUUUAGAAACACCAUCAAAGGGAAGCAGUAGCUAAGUCCAGGCAGGAAAAGGCAGUAACAACACCUGUGAAGAAAUUUCAAAUACCAGAGCUAAAUCAGAGCAGCCUUAUCAGCGAAAGAUAAAGAUGGUUGAUCUUUUUAAAAUGCCCUUGAAAAAUACCUACCAAAUAUCUACCAAAGCAGAAAGCUGGUUUUGACUCUACUAUAAUUUCAAGGGCAAUACUAAAUUAUUGUGUUACAUAUAGACUCCCUAACUAGUACAACACAAAUCAAUAUAAUGCACACUAGUAUAUAUCCUAUAUUCCUCAUCCAAAACUCUACAUUUCCCUGUCAUGUUUCAACUCUUACAUCCUAUAGCAAUUGAUUCCUAUGUGUUCCCUAAUUUUAAAAAUCUAGCAACAUGGUCAUACUAGCACCACUGCUGUUGUGGCUGAGAAGGACAAGGUGGGGUUUUUACCAUCAGCACUGUUCAGUGUUGGGAGUAAAGCUGGGAGGGAUGAACCCCACCCCUAGGUGAGAUGGAUUGGAGCUAGAAUGCCCAAUCUGCACACAGAUUUGCCAUGCCCUCCUGUCCCUGCUGAGAGCUGACAUGAUUAGAAAGUGAUUAUUUUGGGAGAGAAGGAUUAGCCAGCAUCACACUAACAGAUCAUGUUUUCUGAUGGUUCUGUAGGAAAAAGCUAAGGAGAGAUGGAGAGGUUCUGGGGAUCCAAUUUAGCAGAACUGAAUUUCCUACUUUUUCAGUUUGCCUAACAGUGAGAGAAUACACAGUGAUAUAUAGAGGAAUGUUAACGGGGUCAAAAAUAGUCUGAACUCUCCCAAACAAGCAGCUUCAGGAAAACAAGACCCUGGAAAAUUCCCAGAAAGAACUUAAGAAUCUGAUCAAGAUGAAUAAAAAAAGUGACUUGACACGCUUUAGUUAAAAGUCUUCU